UUACAGCUACAACAGACUUUACUCUUGCUAUGAAGGACUUCCACACAAAGUUCACCAGGAGAAGGACCCUUCGGGCCAUCAGCGAAAGGCAGCGAGUGACCCUGGACGUCAUACAGAGGUUCGAGAGCAGCUGCUGGAUAUGACGGAGCAGAAAUGCCACGUGUACCUCGGUGGGAUCCAGACCAUGCACUACAGAACAUUCCAAGACAAGAUGGGACUUCCAGGAAUGCUGGGCACUGUAGUAGGGGAUGUGAAACCCUUCUGUGGGAGCCGGAAGAUAGGACUUCCAGUAAUGCUGAACACUGUAGUAGGGGAUGUGAAACACUUCUGUGGGAGGUAGGAGGGAUGUGUGGCAGUGUUUGGGAGGCAGGAGGGAUGUGUGACAGUGUUUGGGAGGCAGGAGGGAUGUGUGACAGUGUUUGGGAGGCAGGAGGGAUGUGUGACAAUGUUUAGAAUGUGCAGGCUGGGUGUUGAAAGCUAUGGGUUGGAGAAUUUGACCUCUACUGAAGUGUAAGGGUGUUGGAACUUGUUAGGGAAAGGAUGGGAAGAGAAUAAGAGAAUAAGAGCAGGCAAGGAUGGAGUGAUGGAGUCUGUGACGGAAGGGAUAAGAGGUGAAUGAGAGAAUUUGAACAAGUAAGGAUGGAAACAAAUGAAGGAUGGAGUGAUGGAGUGCGUGAGGGAGAGGAUAGGAAGGGAAUAAGAAGACUUAAACAUGCAAGGAUGGAAAUAAAUGAAGGAUGGAGUAUGUGAAGGAGACAAGAUGAGAGAAAGAAAAUUAGAACAUUCAAGGUGGAAACAGAUAGAGGAUGGAGUGAUGGAGUGUGUGAGGAAGAGGAAGAGGACAAGGGAAGAAUCAGAGGGUUGGAGCAUGGAUGGAGGAAAUACAAGGACAGGAGUAAACAGAUGGAUAAAUAAAUAGGGAAAGUAAAGGAGGCUUGGAAAAUAUGAAACUGUUGAAGAAAUGUAGAAGAGCUGGAAAGUACUUGAUAGAAUAAUGACAUUACAAAAAGUAAAUAGUGACGUGACAGAUCUAGUGAUAUAAAAGAAGUUGAAAAUGAAUGAAAAUAUUGAUGAUGCUAUUGUUAAUGAUGUCUUGAUUGUAAUGCAGCACAAUCUGCCACCAGGAAAGCCUUCAGGUUGUUGAGAAAUGACCCAAGAAUCUUCAGGGAGACUGCAUCAAACAGUAUGCUCAACGCUAACACCUAUACAUAUGUGAGUAGUAGUAGUAGUAGUAAUAGUAGUAGUAGUAGUAGUAGUAGUAGUAGUAGUAGUAGUAGUAGUAGUAGUAGUAGUAGUAGUAGUAGUUGUAGUAGUAGUAGUAGUAGUAGUAGUAGUAGUAGUAGUAGUAGUGGUGGUAGUAGUAGUAGCUGCUGUUGCUGCUGCUGCUGCUGUUGUUGUUUACUGACAAAAACACACGUAAUACAAAAAGUUACAAUCUCAUUUUUUGUCCAACUUGAAUAGAAAUAAAAAUAGUCUUGUAGAUGUGUAAUAGGCAUAACACACACACACACACACACACACACACACACACACACACACACACACACACACACACACACACACACACACACACACACACACACACACACACACACACACACACACACACACACACACACACACACACA